rnacentral:rRNA from 1 species
CCCUUAGAUGUUCUGGGCCGCACGCGCGCUACACUGAUUCAUUCAUCAAGUCUAUAACCUUGGUAGAAAUGCUUGGGUAAUCUUUGAAACUGAAUCGUGCUGGGGAUUGGAGCUUGUAAUUAUUCUCCAUGAACGAGGAAUUCCUAGUAAACGCGAGUCAUCAGCUCGCAUUGAUUACGUCCCUGCCCUUUGUACACACCGCCCGUCGCUCCUACCGAUUGAAUGUUCCGGUGAGCUCUUCGGACUGCGCGGUCUGCAGUUUCUGCGUUCCGUGCGGAAAGUUGCGCAAACCUUAACAUUUAGAGGAAGGAGAAGUCGUAACA